CAGCCCAGAGCCUGAAUCAGUAUGUGUGUUAGUGGAAGCGUCUGGAAAGGCGCGCGAUACAGGGUGACAGCCCCGUACACAAAAAUGCACAUGCUGUGAGCUCGAUGAGUAGGGCGGGACACGUGGUAUCCUGUCUGAAUAUGGGGGGACCAUCCUCCAAGGCUAAAUACUCCUGACUGACCGAUAGUGAACCAGUACCGUGAGGGAAAGGCGAAAAGAACCCCGGCGAGGGGAGUGAAAAAGAACCUGAAACCGUGUACGUACAAGCAGUGGGAGCACGCUUAGGCGUGUGACUGCGUACCUUUUGUAUAAUGGGUCAGCGACUUAUAUUCUGUAGCAAGGUUAACCGAAUAGGGGAGCCGAAGGGAAACCGAGUCUUAACUGGGCGUUAAGUUGCAGGGUAUAGACCCGAAACCCGGUGAUCUAGCCAUGGGCAGGUUGAAGGUUGGGUAACACUAACUGGAGGACCGAACCGACUAAUGUUGAAAAAUUAGCGGAUGACUUGUGGCUGGGGGUGAAAGGCCAAUCAAACCGGGAGAUAGCUGGUUCUCCCCGAAAGCUAUUUAGGUAGCGCCUCGUGAAUUCAUCUCCGGGGGUAGAGCACUGUUUCGGCAAGGGGGUCAUCCCGACUUACCAACCCGAUGCAAACUGCGAAUACCGGAGAAUGUUAUCACGGGAGACACACGGCGGGUGCUAACGUCCGUCGUGAAGAGGGAAACAACCCAGACCGCCAGCUAAGGUCCCAAAGUCAUGGUUAAGUGGGAAACGAUGUGGGAAGGCCCAGACAGCCAGGAUGUUGGCUUAGAAGCAGCCAUCAUUUAAAGAAAGCGUAAUAGCUCACUGGUCGAGUCGGCCUGCGCGGAAGAUGUAACGGGGCUAAACCAUGCACCGAAGCUGCGGCAGCGACACUAUGUGUUGUUGGGUAGGGGAGCGUUCUGUAAGCCUGUGAAGGUGUGCUGUGAGGCAUGCUGGAGGUAUCAGAAGUGCGAAUGCUGACAUAAGUAACGAUAAAGCGGGUGAAAAGCCCGCUCGCCGGAAGACCAAGGGUUCCUGUCCAACGUUAAUCGGGGCAGGGUGAGUCGACCCCUAAGGCGAGGCCGAAAGGCGUAGUCGAUGGGAAACAGGUUAAUAUUCCUGUACUUGGUGUUACUGCGAAGGGGGGACGGAGAAGGCUAUGUUGGCCGGGCGACGGUUGUCCCGGUUUAAGCGUGUAGGCUGGUUUUCCAGGCAAAUCCGGAAAAUCAAGGCUGAGGCGUGAUGACGAGGCACUACGGUGCUGAAGCAACAAAUGCCCUGCUUCCAGGAAAAGCCUCUAAGCAUCAGGUAACAUCAAAUCGUACCCCAAACCGACACAGGUGGUCAGGUAGAGAAUACCAAGGCGCUUGAGAGAACUCGGGUGAAGGAACUAGGCAAAAUGGUGCCGUAACUUCGGGAGAAGGCACGCUGAUAUGUAGGUGAGGUCCCUCGCGGAUGGAGCUGAAAUCAGUCGAAGAUACCAGCUGGCUGCAACUGUUUAUUAAAAACACAGCACUGUGCAAACACGAAAGUGGACGUAUACGGUGUGACGCCUGCCCGGUGCCGGAAGGUUAAUUGAUGGGGUCAGCGCAAGCGAAGCUCUUGAUCGAAGCCCCGGUAAACGGCGGCCGUAACUAUAACGGUCCUAAGGUAGCGAAAUUCCUUGUCGGGUAAGUUCCGACCUGCACGAAUGGCGUAAUGAUGGCCAGGCUGUCUCCACCCGAGACUCAGUGAAAUUGAACUCGCUGUGAAGAUGCAGUGUACCCGCGGCAAGACGGAAAGACCCCGUGAACCUUUACUAUAGCUUGACACUGAACAUUGAGCCUUGAUG
rnacentral:rRNA from 1 species